rnacentral:rRNA from 1 species
AUUCCAGCUCCAAUAGCGUAUAUUAAAGUUGUUGCAGUUAAAAAGCUCGUAGUUGAAAAUCUGAUUGUUCAGGCUCCCAGGUUUUAGCCGGGAGUGCUGACAGUCAUCCGCUUGCAAACAUAUGUUCGGCUUUAACCGGUCGGCUAUGUGAGCAAGCACUUUACCUUGAGAAAAACAGAGUGUUCCAGGCAGGUUUGUCCGGAAUGCAUUAGCAUGGAAUAAUAGAACAUGACUGAAGUCUAUUUAUUGGUUUAAGACUACAGUAAUGAUUAAUAGGAACAGUCGGGGGCAUUAGUACUCAGCAGUCAGAGGUGAAAUUCUAAGAUUUGCUGAAGACUAACUAAUGCGAAAGCAUUUGCCAAGGAUGUUUUCAUCA